rnacentral:rRNA from 1 species
GGGGGGGUUUUAUUUGGGUUGGUCCUGCCAGUAGUCAUACGCUCGUCUCAAAGAUUAAGCCAUGCAUGUGUAAGUAUAAAUAAUUUUACUUUGAAACUGCGAAUGGCUCAUUAUAUCAGUUAUAGUUUAUUAGAAAUACUUUACUACUUGGAUAACCGUAGUAAUUCUAGGGCUAAUACAUGAAUAAAUCCUCAACUUCGGAAGAGGUGUGUUUAUUAGUAUGAAAACCAUAUAUCUUCGGAUAUAAUAGUGAGUAAUAAUAACCUUUCGUAUCGUAUGUCGUAAGAUAACGAUAGUUCUUUCAAGUUUCUGCCCUAUCAGCUUUCGAUGGUAGUAUAUGGGACUACCAUGGCAGUAACGGGUAACGAAGAAUUUGGGUUCGAUUUCGGAGAGGGAGCCUGAGAGAUGGCUACCACAUCCAAGGAAGGCAGCAGGCGCGUAAAUUACCCAAUCCUGACAUAGGGAGGUAGUGACAAUAAAUCACAAUGCGGAACUAUUUAGUUUUGCAAUUGGAUUGAGAACAAUGUACAAAUGUUAUCGAUAAACAAUUGGAGGGCAAGUCUGGUGCCAGCAGCCGCGGUAAUUCCAGCUCCAAUAGCGUAUAUUAACGUUGUUGCAUAAAAAAAAGCUCAAAGGGGGGGUU